rnacentral:rRNA from 1 species
UUUGAGAGUUUGAUCCUGGCUCAGGAUUAACGCUGGCGGCAUGCCUAACACAUGCAAGUCGAAUGCCGCCAAUUUAGAGCUGGUUAGUAGCAUUUCUAUGCAAUGUAAGUUGAGUGGAUGUUUAUCUGGUGGCUUUGCGCUAACGAACUUUAAAUUGGCGGCAUGGCGGACGGCUGAGUAACGCGUGGGAACUUACCUCUAAGUUGGGUAUAACCUGCCGAAAGGCGGGAUAAUCCCCAAUGUCCCGCCAAUUUAGUGUUGGUGUUCAAGUAGAUGCUAAUUGAAUGGUGUGAUGCUGUUCGAUUGGGCGGACUAUCAUAUACGAACAUUAAAUUGGCGGGAAAGAUUUAUCGCUUAGAGAGAGGCCUGCGUUCGAUUAGCUUGUUGGUGGGGUAAUGGCCUACCAAGGCUCUGAUCGAUAGGGGGCUUUAGAGGGUGACCCCCCAGACUGGGACUGAGACACGGCCCAGACUCCUACGGGAGGCAGCAGUGAGGGAUUUUCCGCAAUGGACGAAAGUCUGACGGAGCAAUGCCGCGUGAAGGAAGAAGGUCUUCGGAUUGUAAACUUCUUUUGCCCUUGAAGAUUAUGACGGUAAAGGGCGAAUAAGGCGCUGCUAACUACGUGCCAGCAGCAGCGGUAAUACGUAGGCGCCGAGCGUUAUCCGGAUUUACUGGGCGUAAAGCGUCCGCAGGUGGGUUUACAAGUCUGACAUCAAAGCCCUUGGCUCAACCAAGGAAAGGUGCCAGAAACUGUUUAUCUAGAGAUUGGAAGAGGCUGAUGGAACUUCUGGAGUAGGGGUAAUAUCCGUAGAUACCAGAAGGAACACCAAAGGCGAAGGCAGUCAGCUGGUCCAAUUCUGACACUCAUGGACGAAAGCGUGGGGAGCGAACGGGAUUAGAUACCCCGGUAGUCCACGCCCUAAACGAUGGGUACUAGGCAUUGGUGGCAUCGACCCCCUCAGUGCCGAAGCUAACGCGUUAAGUACCCCGCCUGGGGAGUACGGUCGCAAGACUAAAACUCAAAGGAAUUGACGGGGACCCGCACAAGCGGUGGAGCAUGUGGUUUAAUUCGAUGGUAAGCGGAGCACCUCACCAAGGCUUGACAUCCUGUUGAAAGCGACUGGAAACAGACGCCCCCUUUUAGGCAACAGUGACAGGUGCUGCACGGUUGUCGUCAGCUCGUGUCGUGAGAUGUACGGUUAAGUCCGAUAACGAGCGCAACCCCUAUGUUGUGUUGUAUUUUUCACAACAGACCGCUGUGGUUAACACAGAGGAAGGUGGGGAUGACGUCAAAUCAGCGUGGCCUUUAUGCCUUGGGCGACACACGUGCUACAAUGGACAGGUCACAAUGGGUUGCGAGGCCGUAAGGCGGAGCUAAUCCCACCAAAACUGUCCCAAGUUCGGAUUGGGGUCUGCAACUCGACCCCAUGAAGCUGGAAUCGCUAGUAACCGCAGAUCAGCCAUGCUGCGGUGAAUACGUUCUCGGGUCUUGUACACACCGCCCGUCACACCAAGAAAGUGAGAAACAUCCGAAAUCUCUCGGUUACGAGGGCCUAAGGUGGAGCUCAUGAUUUGGGUGAAGUUUAACGGCUUCCCAUGCGAGUAAUCGCAUGGUAAAAUCUAACUAUAUCGGUGAACUCCGAUCCGCCAGUCGGCGGAGGACAACGCCGAGGGAAGUUGGGCUAGCCACGAAGUUCGUGGCGAAUUCUUGUUAAAUUCUGCUAGACAGCAGAACAUAUAAGUUGCCUUAACCCCGUAGAGACUAUACGUUGGCGCCAUCGAAAGAUGGAUGAAGACAUAGUCCGGCACUCUUGGCAACAAGAGAUAACAGUUGCGUAACAAGGUAUCCGUAUCGGAAGGUGCGGAUGGAACACCUCCUU